rnacentral:rRNA from 1 species
UGGAGCAUGUGGUUUAAUUCGAAGCAACGCGAAGAACCUUACCAGGUCUUGACAUCCCGAUGCUAUUUCUAGAGAUAGAAAGUUACUUCGGUACAUCGGUGACAGGUGGUGCAUGGUUGUCGUCAGCUCGUGUCGUGAGAUGUUGGGUUAAGUCCCGCAACGAGCGCAACCCCUAUUGUUAGUUGCCAUCAUUCAGUUGGGCACUCUAGCGAGACUGCCGGUAAUAAACCGGAGGAAGGUGGGAUGACGUCAAAUCAUCAUGCCCCUUAUGACCUGGGCUACACACGUGCCACAAUGGUUGGUACAACGAGUUGCGAGUCGGUGACGGCGAGCUAAUCUCUUAAAGCCAAUCUCAGUUCGGAUUGCAGGCUGCAACUCGCCUACAUGAAGUCGGAAUCGCUAGUAAUCGCGGAUCAGCACGCCGCGGUCGAAUACGUUCCGGGCCUU